UACGUAGGGGGCAAGCGUUGUCCGGAAUUAUUGGGCGUAAAGCGCGCGCAGGCGGUUCUUUAAGUCUGGUGUUUAAGUGCGGGGCUCAACCCCGUGACGCACUGGAAACUGGGGAACUUGAGUGCAGAAGAGGAGAGCGGAAUUCCACGUGUAGCGGUGAAAUGCGUAGAGAUGUGGAGGAACCCCAGAGGCGAAGGCGGCGCCCUGGCUCGCAACUGACGCUCAGACACGACAGCAUGGGGGAGCGAACGGGG
rnacentral:rRNA from 1 species